rnacentral:tRNA from 2 species
GCCCUUGUUGUCUAAUGGUUAUGACGUCAGACUUCUACAGCCUUUACUGGCUAGCUGGCAUCUGGAGGUUGCGGGUUCGAAUCCCGCCAGGGGUU